UGUUCCCAUCCCUACCAGGCUGCUACUACCUUCCCCAUCCAUUGCCCUUUCUCUUCUCUUCUCAUUUCCCGUGAACGAGGUUCCGGUGUGCUUCACCAGCGAGUGAGCGCGGAAGCCCGGCGCGCGCGUGGCUCCUCGCUCGGGGCGUGCGGCUCCUGCACCCUUCCACUGUGGCCGUCCCGGCGCUGAUUCCUCUGCUCCAACGGAUCCACCCCGUCUCCACUCCACCUCCCUGACGGUGAUCACGGAUCUGCGUGAUGGCUUGGAUGCAACGAGGAGAUUGAGAACGGUAUGCUUUGGGAGGUCGAUGGCAAGCUUUGUUUGUUCGAUUGAUUCAUUCUGCAGUUUGUGGGAAGAGCAAAUUCAACAACAACAACAACAUAGCAUUUUUUCCCAAGUAUGUGGAACAACUAGUUGCAAGUGAAGAAAGGCUGCAGUUGCAGAAGUUAUUAAAAGAGGAGUAAGCGUUUUCUAUCACUUUGUACAUAUAAAUGAUAGGGGUUAUUGCGUUCUUACCCCUGCUUUGGUCGCGAAUUGUGAUUUUACUCCCACUUUACGCAACUUUGUGAUUUUACCCCUGGUUUUUUAAAACGAAGAUAGACUUUACCCCUACUAUGUUAACAGGACGUAACGGUGUUAAAUGGACAGGUAAAAUACAACUAUACCCUUGCAUUUUUGCCCCUAUUGUUAUGAACAGUUUGUGAUUUUACCCCCAUUUUGACAUAAACCAUAUAGCUGUAAAAUUUGACUCCAUGGACAACAUUAUAUCCAGACACCACAAUAAUUUUCCCAUAAUUUUAUCAACAUAAAUCAACAAGAUUAAAACUGAGCAAUAAUUUUGACAGCAUCAUAACAUAACUUGCAUUUAUAAAGUCUGGAUCACAUGCAUAGAUAAAUAAGAUCCAUCAUAGGUGCAGCAAAAGCAACAUCAUAGCUUCAGUAAAAGCAACAUCAUAGGUGCAGAAGUACAACACCAGAUGGCAUCCACGUGCAUAUGCACCAAAAGCAUCAAGGGACCCAAGCAUCAACUACUAGAGAGGUAUUACAUGCCCAUGGAGAAUAAAUUUAUGCAUCUAUCCCUAACAAUGCAGCCAAGCUUCUGGAUCUCCCUCUUCCUAUUGUUCCACCUCUUCCAGCAUCUCUUGUUCCUGUUUCACUUGUAUUGGCCCUUCCCCUGCCUUUUCCUCUUCCUCUUCCCCCUCCCCUUCCGGAUCUAACAUCUUCUGUUUCUGUUUCACCAGCACUUGCACUUGCACUUCCCCUUCCCCUUCCUGAUUCAACAACUUCUGUCCCUGCUGCACUUGCACUUACACUUGUACUUCCCCUUCCCCUUUCACUCACACUUUACAAGAAAAAAAGGAAAAAAUGGUUCAGUCAACAAGUACAGUAACUAUGUAUGCCCAAAUAAGUAAGUAAUUGCAUGACUCACGUUGAUACUUGUGAAGAUAAUUCAGUUUGUGAAGAUAAGAGCUUUCUCUUUUGACUAGCUAUGAGGCCUCCUUGGCAAUGCUUAGCUGUGUGGCCUAGUUCAUUACAUUCAGAACAAGGCCUCUUUUUCUUACUUGUGCUUGCUUCAUCAUAGGACUUGAUUCUAGAGUUUCUUGGCCUCCCUGGUUUCCUUCUCAGUAUAGCCUUAUGGAUUUUGUAGUCUAAGUUGACACGUGUCCAUCUAUCCUUGGAUGUCAUUGGGUUGAAUGUGCAUUCAUAUGUCUUUUUUGAGCCUAUCCACAGAGAAGUACUCAUGGACAAAGUCAUCCAUUUGUACCUGCCUACUUAGCUUAGCAAUGAAAGCUAAAGCAUGGGUGCAAGGCUUUACAGUCACUUGCCAAGCCCUACAAGUACAUGUAUGAUGCUCCAAGUUAACUGCAUGUCUAAAUCUGUUCACAGUCACUUCAGCACAUCCAGCACAACAUAUUAGUACCUCAUGGUCCUUUAUACUCUUAACUUUAGCAUUUAGGGCUGCUAUGAUAGAUGGGAUGAUUGUUCCUGUCAUGUUACUAGCAAUCUUGGCUCUCAAAACAAAUUUUCCAAUGAUCAUCUGUCUUAUCUUAUCAUGCAUAUCCACAAUUUAAAAAUCCUUUGUUUUUGACACCCAGCUAUUGAAGGACUCAGAGAUGUUGUUGUUGAUGUAAUCUACCUUGCAAUUUUCAAAGAAUUUGCUUCUACUCCACACAUAUGGAUGAUUGUCAUCCAAUCAAAAUGUUGAAUUUACCUUGCAGCCAAGGUACUUCUUGCUCGUAGAUGCAAAAAACUUCCAAUUACAACCUUCUUUGGCCCUCUUGCAUAUGGCUCUAAACCUUCGUCUAUCCUUUUUCACAAUCUGAUUUUGGUGGUGGAUGUCACUCUCUCAUUUUGGGAUCUCUCAUUGGUCUGUGACUCACUAGUGUCUCUCUUAUUUGCAUGUACUUUAUUUCUAAGAGAAGGGUGACACCUACGUUUGGUUGGUGAAAAUUGCAGUGGUCCUACAAUCUCAUUUACCUGGGCAUUGAUUUGGGCUACUCCCUUGUUAAGAUUGCACUCAAACCACUCAAGCAUAUCCUCAUCUGAUUUUAUCUCAAUAGAAUCGGUCUCCAACUCACGCAAAAAAGUUAUGUACUGCUUUGAUCCCCACAUGUAAUGCCCGGCAAUGAAAUCAUCUAAUUGUUGCAGACCAUAGGCAUGUAUGUCAACAAUUUGAGUUGGCAAUGUUUUGCCCUGCAUCCAUGACUUUGGACCACCAUCAGGCAAACUAAAAAACGACCGUACUCUAACAACAAGAUUUAUCUCUGUAUGAUUUGACCUACAAAUCACAGUGGUGAAUACACAGUUAGCUAAAUCAUCCUAGAUGUCGAGGUUAAUUCGUCCUACAAAUCUACAAAUCGAUUUGCCCCAAAAUCUAACAUCAGUACCACAGCCACAGGAACAAGAGAAAUUACCUAGGUUUUUCUCCAAGAUUGGACAAAUCCAUCGCUCCGGCCACCGUGAGCCCCAGGCCGGGUCGUGAGCUUGGCGGGUGCGCUAGCCCCACGCCCGCGCCGGUGCUCGCUAGGCCAGCGCGCAACCCCGAGGCCACCGCGUGCCCUAGGCUGGGUCGCGAGCUCCGCGGGGGCGCUAGCCGUGCUGCGCGCCCGCGCCCACGCUCACCAGGCCUGCGCGCCCCUGGAUCCGCUGAGCCGCCGCCUUCUCCGCCUGAUCCGCUGAGCCGCCACCUUCUCCGCCUCAAUCCGUUGGACCUGCGUCCGCUGGAGCUGCCCGAGCCCCCUCCGCCUGGAUCCGCAACCACCUGGACCCGCCUGAGCUGCCAACGCCGCCGCCUGGACCCACCGUCGCCGCUGCCUGGACCGACCUUCAGCCGCUGCCGCCACCACGAGACUGGGAGAGAGGGCUCGAGAUAUUUGUGACUCGGGAGAGGCUCUAGUGGAGCACGUAAACAACAUAAAGGGUACCAAUGUCUUUCCACCUUAUUUCCAAGGGUUUUUCUUUUUCUUUUAAUUUGUUUAUUCGAGAUCCCACUAACGGAGUUGAAAGAAGGGGCAGACGGACGCUUCAUUUUGGUAAAACAAGGGCAAAAUCACAAAGUUGUGAAAAGGGAGGGUAAAAUCACAAUUAGCUUGUAGAGUUGGGGUAGAAACACCAAUUCCCCUAAAUGAUAUUCUUGCAUUUUACAUAAUGAGUUUGUAGCGGUUACAACAUCUAGUUGUUUGUGAAUUUUGUGGUUCACUUUGUAAAGUUUAUUUGUACGUGGAGUAUUUCUAUUAUGCAAAUGCACUUAAAAUGUUCCAUCCUGCCCAAUGUCUUCACAACUCUAUUUUAUUUUAAAGUAAAGAGCUGAAGUUUUAGUGUUUAUGUGGGUGCCCCUGUGUGUCCCUCGUGUGGGUGGUGGGGAGAGGGGGUGGGGGGUGUGCUUAUGUUUUACUUCUUAGAAGCAUUAUUGUUAAUUUUCUUUAGCUCAUGAUUCAAUUGGGUGGAACUUACCGUUAGUGUACAUGAUUAUUACAAUGCUUCAUGUUCUGCAAUUUUAGUAUACAUGCACUAUAAUUUAUUAUUUUUUGCAUAAUUGACCUACAUUAUCAUUUCAAUUGAUACAUUUUAUUUGUUUCGCUAACUCAGUAUAUUCUAGAAUUGAUAUCUUUUAUUUUGAUUCUAUUUUUUGUUGAUGUUUGUUUGUGUUUUUUAAGUUUAGUAGGUACUAGAUAACUCAACAUGUGAUCUACUGUACUGUACUUGGACUAUUGUCCUCUCCUAUUU